UGACGUCGGUUCCUCCUCCUGUCAGCAGUGAAUCAGGAGGAUUUUACGACGUCGCAGAGAAAUGCGGGUCUUUUUCACCCAGAGAGCUUCGGGCUGCGGCCCAACGUUAAAGCUUCCUGGUUUUGCGAGACCCAACAAAC